UCCUAUUCACAGUAAACCUUGUUGUCAGCACGCACAUGUGGAAAGGUAGCAAGAGGGCUUGGCACUUGUCCCCUGGCCAAGGGUACAUUCUCUCUUUCCUUCAGGUUUUCCAUCUCCCAUCUGGAGGGAACCCCAUUACCUGAAGACAAAUGCUUGUAGGUGACAGCCACCCAGCACACCCUCCUUAUUCUUCCUCAUGCCGCUAGUAAAACCCGGAGAGGUGGAUUUUCUGUAGAUUCCGCACCAACUAUCCACCCCACACCCAAAGCCCGGAGGCUGAGGGAGUGGUGGCAGACGGGGGUUGCGGGGGGGGGGUAGGGAGCGAGCUCAGGUUACUGAGCAUGCGCGAGGCGUGGCGCAUGCUCCUUCUCCCCGGGUGGCGGGGUUAGAUGAGCGGCCCCAGUAGCGGCGAGGGCGGCGCGCGGGGGAGGAGGAGGAGAAGGAGGAGAAGGAGGAGGUCGCUGUCUUUGUAGUGUCCCUGAGGCCGCUGCGGAGCCUUCGUCGUAGGAAAGGGCUGUGAGCGCGCGCGCGUGUCUGCCCGCCCGGCCCGCGGGGACGAGGCGGCGGCGGUGGCGAGGAGGAGGAUGAUGUGCGCAGCGACUGCCUCCACCGCCGCGGUCUCCGCGGGGCCCGGCGGGGACGCCUUCUUCCCCGCCACCACUGUGUCUUCCUCCCCAGCGCAGGGGGCACUGUACAUGCCGGCUCCCGAGGGCUCCGUGGCCGCCGUGAGGCUGGGACUGGGGCUGGGGCUGGGGCUGCCCGCCGCGGACUCGCGGGGUCACUACCAGCUGCUGCUGUCUGGCCGGGCCCUGGCCGACCGCUAUCGGAGGAUCUACACCUCGGCGCUCAGCGACAGGGACCAGGGGGGCGGCAGCGCUGGACACCCGGCCUCCAGGAAUAAGAAAACUUUAAAUAAGAAGAAGUUGAAAAGAAAACAGAAGAGCAAAUCAAAAGUGAAGACAAGAAGCAAGUCUGAAAACCUGGAGAAUACAGUAAUCAUACCAGAUAUCAAACUGCAUAGCAAUCCUUCUGCUUUCAAUAUUUACUGUAAUGUACGCCAUUGCGUUCUGGAAUGGCAGAAAAAGGAAACAUCACUGGCUGCUGUAUCUAAGAAUUCUGUGCAGAGUGGAGAAUCAGAUAGUGAUGAAGAAGAGGAAUCCAAAGAGCCCCCAAUCAAACUUCCAAAGAUUAUUGAAGUUGGACUUUGUGAAGUAUUUGAAUUGAUCAAGGAGACACGGUUUUCACAUCCAUCUCUGUGUCUGAGGAGUCUCCAAGCCCUGCUGAAUGUGCUUCAGGGUCAGCAGCCAGAAGGCCUCCAGUCAGAGCCACCCGAGGUCCUAGAGUCUCUCUUCCAGCUCCUUUUGGAAAUCACUGUUCGGAGUACUGGGAUGAAUGACAGUACAGGACAGUCCUUGACAGCACUUUCCUGUGCUUGCCUCUUUAGUCUAGUGGCUUCUUGGGGAGAAACAGGAAGGACACUUCAGGCCAUCUCUGCUAUCCUUACCAACAAUGGUAGCCAUGCUUGCCAAACUAUUCAGGUGCCAACAAUACUAAAUUCCCUGCAGAGAAGUGUACAGGCAGUUUUAGUGGGAAAAAUUCAAAUUCAGGACUGGUUUAGCAAUGGCAUUAAGAAAGCAGCUUUAAUGCACAAAUGGCCCUUAAAAGAAGUCUCUAUUGAUGAAGAUGAUCAGUGUCUACUUCAAAAUGAUGGAUAUUUUCUUUAUCUGUUAUGCAAGGAUGGAUUAUACAAAAUAGGCUCUGGAUACAGUGGAACAGUUAGGGGCCAUAUAUAUAAUUCUACAUCCCGCAUCAGAAACAGAAAAGAAAAAAAGUCUUGGUUAGGGUAUGCUCAGGGUUAUUUAUUAUAUAGAGAUGUGAAUAACCACAGCAUGACAGCCAUAAGAAUAAGCCCUGAAACACUGGAACAAGAUGGCACUGUCAUUUUACCAGGUAUGUUUCAACGAGUUGUGUUGUUUUCUUCGCAAGUGAUUUUUAGAAAUGUGUAUGUUAGGCUUUUUAUACAUAUAAAAAAAUGAUUGUCUAGAAAUACUGCUUGCUUACAAAUGGAUUUAAAAGUCUUGA
rnacentral:lncRNA from 1 species